UGAGUAAUACGUAGGAAUCUACCCUAGAGUGGGGGAUAACCUGUCGAAAGACGGGCUAAUACCGCAUAAUCUCUAAGGAGCAAAGGUGGCUAGCAAUAGCUUUCGCUUUAGGAUGAGCCUACGUCGGAUUAGCUAGUUGGUAGGGUAAUGGCCUACCAAGGCGACAAUCCGUAGCUGGUCUGAGAGGACGAUCAGCCACACUGGAACUGAGACACUGUCCAGACUCCUACGGGAGGCAGCAGUGGGGAAUAUUGGACAAUGGGGGGAACCCUGAUCCAGCAAUGCCGCGUGUGCGAUGAAGGCCUGCGGGUUGUAAAGCACUUUCGGUGGGGAAGAAAUGCUCAAAGAUAAUACAUUUGAGAGCUGACGUUACCCACAGAAGAAGCACCGGCAAACUCUGUGCCAGCAGCCGCGGUAAUACAGAGGGUGCAAGCGUUAAUCGGAGUUACUGGGCGUAAAGGGCGCGUAGGCUGGUAUUUAAGUCGAUUGUGAAAUCCCUGGGCUUAACCUAGGAAUUGCAGUCGAUACUGAAUGUCUUGAGUAUGGUAGAGGAAAGUGGAAUUCUCGGUGUAGUGGUUAAAUACGUAGAUAUCGAGAAGAACACCGGUGGCGAAGGCGACUUUCUGGACCAAUACUGACGCUGAGGCGCGAAAGCGUGGGGAGCAAACAGGAUUAGAUACCCUGGUAGUCCACGCUGUAAACGAUGAGAACUAGAUGUUGUCUGGUUUAUGCCGGGCAGUAUCGCAGCUAACGCAUUAAGUUCUCCGCCUGGGGAGUACGAUCGCAAGAUUA
rnacentral:rRNA from 1 species